rnacentral:rRNA from 1 species
UACGUAGGGGGCAAGCGUUGUCCGGAAUCAUUGGGCGUAAAGAGCGCGUAGGCGGGCCGGUAAGUCCGCUCUGAAAGUCCGGGGCUCAACCCCGGGAGGCGGGCGGAUACUGUCGGGCUAGAGUCCGGAAGAGGCGAGUGGAAUUCCUGGUGUAGCGGUGAAAUGCGCAGAUAUCGGGAGGAACACCGGUGGCGAAGGCGGUUCUCUGGGCCUUACCUGACGCUGAGGAGCGAAAGCGUGGGGAGCGAACAGG